GCCCUACGGGGGGCAGCAGUGGGGGAUAUUGCACAAUGGGGGGAACCCUGAUGCAGCGACGCCGUGUGGGUGAAGGAGCGUUUCGGCGCGUAAAGCCCUAUCGGCAGGGAAGAAGAUGACGGUACCUGACCAAGAAGCCCCGGCUAACUACGUGCCAGCAGCCGCGGUAAUACGUAGGGGGCAAGCGUUAUCCGGGUUUACUGGGUGUAAAGGGGGCGCAGACGGCAAUGCAAGCCAGGAGUGAAAGCCCGGGGCUCAACCCCGGGACUGCAUUUGGAACUGUAUAGCUAGAGUGUCGGAGAGGG
rnacentral:rRNA from 1 species